rnacentral:rRNA from 1 species
CAAUAGCGUAUAUUAAAGUUGUUGCGGUUAAAAGCUCGUAGUUGGAUUUCUGCCGAGGACGACCGGUCCGCCCUCUGGGUGAGCAUCUGGAUCGGCCUGGGCAUCUCUUGGGAGAGUAGCUGCACUUGACUGUGUGGUGCGGUAUCCAGGACUUUUACUUUGAGGAAAUUAGAGUGUUUCAAGCAGGCUUCCGCCUUGAAUACAUUAGCAUGGAAUAAUAAGAUAGGACCUCGGUUCUAUUUUGUUGGUUUCUAGAGCUGAGGUAAUGAUUAAUAGGGAUAGUUGGGGGCAUUCGUAUUUAACUGUCAGAGGUGAAAUUCUUGGAUUUACUGAAAGACGAACACUGCGAAGCAACUUGUCCAAGAGUGUUUUUCAUUAUCAAGAACGAAAGUUAG